rnacentral:rRNA from 2 species
UCUGAUAGUCGGUGCAUACAUGCAGUCGUACAAGGUAACCAGCUGAUUGAUGGUGCUUGCACCUGAUUGACGAUGGAUCACCAGUGAGGGGCGGACGGGUGAGUAACACGUAGGUAACCUGCCCCGGAGCGGGGGAUAACAUUUGGAAACAGAUGCUAAUACCGCAUAACAACAAAAGCCACAUGGCUUUUGUUUGAAAGAUGGCUUUGGCUAUCACUCUGGGAUGGACCUGCGGUGCAUUAGCUAGUUGGUAAGGUAACGGCUUACCAAGGCGAUGAUGCAUAGCCAAGUUGAGAGACUGAUCGGCCACAAUGGAACUGAGACACGGUCCAUACUCCUACGGGAGGCAGCAGUAGGGAAUCUUCCACAAUGGGCGCAAGCCUGAUGGAGCAACACCGCGUGAGUGAAGAAGGGUUUCGGCUCGUAAAGCUCUGUUGUUGGAGAAGAACGUGCGUGAGAGUAACUGUUCACGCAGUGACGGUAUCCAACCAGAAAGUCACGGCUAACUACGUGCCAGCAGCCGCGGUAAUACGUAGGUGGCAAGCGUUAUCCGGAUUUAUUGGGCGUAAAGCGAGCGCAGGCGGUUGCUUAGGUCUGAUGUGAAAGCCUUCGGCUUAACCGAAGAAGUGCAUCGGAAACCGGGCGACUUGAGUGCAGAAGAGGACAGUGGAACUCCAUGUGUAGCGGUGGAAUGCGUAGAUAUAUGGAAGAACACCAGUGGCGAAGGCGGCUGUCUGGUCUGCAACUGACGCUGAGGCUCGAAAGCAUGGGUAGCGAACAGGAUUAGAUACCCUGGUAGUCCAUGCCGUAAACGAUGAGUGCUAGGUGUUGGAGGGUUUCCGCCCUUCAGUGCCGGAGCUAACGCAUUAAGCACUCCGCCUGGGGAGUACGACCGCAAGGUUGAAACUCAAAGGAAUUGACGGGGGCCCGCACAAGCGGUGGAGCAUGUGGUUUAAUUCGAAGCUACGCGAAGAACCUUACCAGGUCUUGACAUCUUGCGCUAACCUUAGAGAUAAGGCGUUCCCUUCGGGGACGCAAUGACAGGUGGUGCAUGGUCGUCGUCAGCUCGUGUCGUGAGAUGUUGGGUUAAGUCCCGCAACGAGCGCAACCCUUGUUACUAGUUGCCAGCAUUAAGUUGGGCACUCUAGUGAGACUGCCGGUGACAAACCGGAGGAAGGUGGGGACGACGUCAGAUCAUCAUGCCCCUUAUGACCUGGGCUACACACGUGCUACAAUGGACGGUACAACGAGUCGCAAGCUCGCGAGAGUAAGCUAAUCUCUUAAAGCCGUUCUCAGUUCGGACUGUAGGCUGCAACUCGCCUACACGAAGUCGGAAUCGCUAGUAAUCGCGGAUCAGCAUGCCGCGGUGAAUACGUUCCCGGGCCUUGUACACACCGCCCGUCACACCAUGGGAGUUUGUAACGCCCAAAGUCUC